UUUAGGGUUCCGUAGCCAAAUGGCAAAAAACGGAACCCUUAUAGAUUCGUCAUGUCUGUCUGUCUUGUUGAAACUUGGUAAGUAGAUGUAUUCUAUGAACCGCAUUAAGAUUUUCAUACAAAAAUAGAAAAUAAACAAUAAAUUUUUAGGGUUCCCCAUACAUAGAACUGAAACUCAAAAAAAUUUUUUUCAACA